UCCCGUGGCCUAGUGGUUAUGGCGUUCGCCUCGGAUGCUGGAGGUCGUGGGUUUUAUCCCCGGUCGAGUCAU